CAUGAAUUCCUCUGAAUAAGUAUUCAGAAACCUGGUCAAUUAACAACUAGUGUAGACUUUUCUUAACAAAAACCCUCUGAGGUUUUUCCUGAGUUCAAUUAACUUAAAACCUUGAGCAACAUUUGAUCUCCAGGUUGUGAUGCGUGUCACUCAAAAGGCUGGUCAUCUGUUUGCCUAUCUCCCCUAGGCAAACCUAGAAAAUGCAUCUCCUGACCUUCGAAGAGAGCUCUGGUUAUUCAGGAAAGUGGAUUGCCUUGUCCCCUGGAGCAUAAAACUGCAAGUACUAGGCAUCAGACCAAACUUUUCCCUAGGGCGGAUCCUGUUACAGGGCACCGUGAAUACAGGUGUGAAGGACUCAGGAGCUGGGAUGAAUUCCCACCCCGAGGAUCUGAGUGUCUCAUCGCCCGGUUUGUGUUGGUGACCUGUCUCUCUCUUCUUCUCUGAAUGGGGACCCCCAAGACCAGUGUUAGAUAGCUUCCUCAAAGUGGCCGGGCACGUGUGCAGGAUAAUAAUAUGCCACUAGGGAGAAAGGACAGGGAUGAAGAGUUCUCCCC
rnacentral:lncRNA from 1 species